ACGAAAAUACCCAGGUGCACAACUACACAUGCUGAUCAAUAUUCCUGUAAAGUUUCAUGACUCUAGGUCAAAUACUUUUUGAGUUACAUGCGACACAAGUUGAAAAUUGCAAAAUUUUACUAAGUCAAGGGCAAUAACUCUGAAAAUACUAAAAAUAUCCAGACCAAAAUACCCAGGUGCACAACUACACAUGCUGAUCAACAUUCCUGUAAAGUUUCAUGACUGUAGGUCAAAUACUUUUGGAGUUACAUGCGACACAAGUUGAAAAUUGCCAAAUUUUACUAAAUCAAGGGCAAUAACUCUGAAAAUACUAAAAAUAUCCACACGAAAAUACCCAGGUGCACAACUACACAUGCUGAUCAACAUUCCUGUAAAGUUUCAUGACUCUAGGUCAAAUACUUUUUGAGUUACGUGCGACACAAAAGUGAACGGACGGACGGACGGAAGGACGGACGGAAGGACGGACGGACGGACGGACGGAAGGACGGACGGACAAGGGUAAAUCUAAAUGCCCGCCACUAACGUGGGGGCACAACAA